CAACAUUACUGGGGCUAGGUGAGACUAGAUACAACACAACAUUACUGGGGCUAGGUGAGAGUAGAUACAACACAACAUUACUGGGGCUAGGUGAGACUAGAUACAACACAACAUUACUGGGGCUAGGUGAGAGUAGAUACAACAUAACAUUACUGGGGCUAGGUGAGACUAGAUACAACACAACAUUACUGGGGCUAGGUGAGAGUAGAUACAACACAACAUUACUGGGGCUAGGUGAGAGUAGAUACAACAUAACAUUACUGGGGCUAGGUGAGAGUAGAUACAACACAACAUUACUGGGGCUAGGUGAGGGUAGAUACAACA